AUUGAACGCUGGCGGCAUGCCUUACACAUGCAAGUCGAACGGCAGCACGGGUGCUUGCACCUGGUGGCGAGUGGCGAACGGGUGAGUAAUACAUCGGAACAUGUCCUGUAGUGGGGGAUAGCCCGGCGAAAGCCGGAUUAAUACCGCAUACGAUCUACGUAUGAAAGCGGGGGACCUUCUGGCCUCGCGCUAUAGGGUUGGCCGAUGGCUGAUUAGCUAGUUGGUGGGGUAAAGGCCUACCAAGGCGACGAUCAGUAGCUGGUCUGAGAGGACGACCAGCAACACUGGGACUGAGACACGGCCCAGACUCCUACGGGAGGCAGCAGUGGGGAAUUUUGGACAAUGGGCGAAAGCCUGAUCCAGCAAUGCCGCGUGUGUGAAGAAGGCCUUCGGGUUGUAAAGCACUUUUGUCCGGAAAGAAAUCCUUGGCCCUAAUACGGUCGGGGGAUGACGGUACCGGAAGAAUAAGCACCGGCUAACUACGUG
rnacentral:rRNA from 1 species